rnacentral:rRNA from 1 species
GACGAACGCUGGCGGCGUGCUUAACACAUGCAAGUCGAGCGGUAAGGCCCUUUCGGGGGUACACGAGCGGCGAACGGGUGAGUAACACGUGGGUGACCUGCCCUCAGCUCUGGGAUAAGCCCGGGAAACUGGGUCUAAUACCGGAUAUGACUCCAUGACGCAUGUUGUGGGGUGGAAAGCCUUGUGCGGCUGAGGAUGGGCCCGCGGCCUAUCAGCUUGUUGGUGGGGUGAUGGCCACCAAGGCGACGACGGGUAGCCGGCCUGAGAGGGCGACCGGCCACACUGGGACUGAGAUACGGCCCAGACUCCUACGGGAGGCAGCAGUGGGGAGUCUUGCGCAAUGGGCGAAAGCCUGACGCAGCGACGCCGCGUGAGGGAUGACGGCCUGUGU